GUGUGGAGAUGGAGGAUGUUGAAGUAGAUCCAGCUGUUGAGGAAGAAAUUGCACUGAUUAAUAACAUGGGGGCUGCUAAUCAGGUUCCUUCAUCGGAUGCAAACUCAAAGCCGACUCAGUGAGGAAUGCAGAAGAAGCUGAAAGUCUAGCAUUACUAGAGGCAGUGACAUGGG